CCUACGGGAGUCAGCAGUGAGGAAUAUUGGUCAAUGGUCGGGCGACUGAACCAGCCAAGCCGCGUGAGGGAUGCAGGUACAGAGUAUCGUAAACCUCUUUUGUCAGGGAACAAAGGCGGGGACGUGUCCCCGGAUGAGUGUACCUGAAGAAACAGCAUCGGCUAACUCCGUGCCAGCCGCCGCGGUAAUACGGGGGAUGCGAGAGUUAUCAGGAUUUAUUGGGUUUAAAGGGUGCGCAGGCGGUCUGUUAAGUCAGCGUUCAAAGCCCGGGGCUCAAACCCGGCCCGCCGUUGAAACUGGCAGUCUCGAGUUGGAGAGAAGUAUGCGGAAUGCGCGGUGUAGCGGUGAAAUGCAUAGAUAUCGCGCAGAACUCCGAUUGCGAAGGCAGCAUGCCGGCUCCACACUGACGCUGAGGCACGAAAGCGUGGGUAUCGAACAGGAUUAGAUACCCCUGGAGUC
rnacentral:rRNA from 1 species